UACGAAGGGUGCAAGCGUUACUCGGAAUUACUGGGCGUAAAGCGUGCGCAGGCGGUUGUGCAAGACAGAUGUGAAAUCCCCGGGCUCAACCUGGGAAUUGCAUUUGUGACUGCACGGCUAGAGUGUGUCAGAGGGGGGUAGAAUUCCACGUGUAGCAGUGAAAUGCGUAGAGAUGUGGAGGAAUACCGAUGGCGAAGGCAGCCCCCUGGGAUAACACUGACGCUCAUGCACGAAAGCGUGGGGAGCAAACAGG
rnacentral:rRNA from 1 species